rnacentral:rRNA from 1 species
GACGAACGCUGGCGGCGUGCCUAAUACAUGCAAGUAGAACGAACAGUUUAUACCCUAGCUUGCUACACCAUAGACUGUGAGUUGCGAACGGGUGAGUAACGCGUAGGUAACAUGCCUGGUAGCGGGGGAUAACUAUUGGAAACGAUAGCUAAUACCUCAUAAUAUUAAUUAUUGCAUGAUAAUUAAUUGAAAGGUGCAAUUGCACCACUACCAGAUGGACCUGCGGUGUAUUAGCUAGUAGGGGAGGUAACGGCUCACCUAGGCGACGAUACAGAGCCGAACUGGGAAGGUUGUCGGCCCACCUGGGAAUGGGACAAGGCCCAGACUCCUUAGGGGGGGAGGCGGAGGGGAUCCUCGGGAAUGGGCGGAAGUCUGAACGAGGAACGCCGCGGUGGGGAAGAAGGGUUUCGGGUCGUAAAGAUCUGUUUUUUGGGAAGAAACGAUGUGGGAGUGGACAGUUCACACUGUGACGGUAUCUAACCAGAAAGGGACGGCUAACUACGUG